AUUAUUUUGAGGUAUAUUCCUUCAAUACCUAGUUUAUUGACAGAAAGCUACAUUUUAAAUAGAAUAUUUAUAAAAACAUGGUUGAUGUUCUCUGUCACCUAAGAAAUUAUUUAGGAUGCUCUGAAAUGUACCAACUCUUAUGGAAGACAAUAGUCCCUGUGAUAAGGCUGGGAAGAGUCCUAAGGACCAUGGCCACUAGAUUCAAAAGCACCUGGAGGAAGACGAGCUCAUUUCUUUUGGUGAGGAAGAGGAAGGCCACACGGAGAAGGUAGGAUUCAAGCUGGGCCUUCAACGUUGAGCAUGGGUAUUAUUUUUUUAAUAGAUGAAAGGUGAGAGAAUACAUUGAAGGUAGGUAACGCUUGUUAGUUCAACCAGUAACUAGGUCAAAGAAUAGAACAACAGCGAGAGGAAAGUGAGUCUCACAGGAAAGCCUGACAAGUCAAGAAAUGUGGGAGGGAGUCUGGGGACAGCGUGGUCAAUGACCUCUUCUGACACAAGUGCACGAAGCUAGCAGAAAGGGCCCUGGGGAGACUGAGGCACAUCCUAAUUACCUGCCUUGAGAGGGACACCAUGCUUCUAUGAAUGAAGCCUGAGCCCACCAGCAUUGUUCCUUUUUAGUGCUCUUAUAACUCAUCUUCAGGCCCUUUUUCUCAAAACCCACUCCUUAGCUAGAUAUUAUCUGUGCCAAAAUUAUGAAAUUAUUUGUGGGAAUCUAAAAUCAGAACUUCACAUUUAAAAAAACUUGAAUGUCUAAUGAAUUGUUUGUAUUGGAUUUUGUCUCCUUUGGGCCUUGAAAUCAUCUUGAAUAUGGAUUCUGUUGCCUGGUAGAUGAGCUGCCCCCACCAGCUGUGGCUCAGGGGACUUUCCUCCAGGUUAACUGCAGUGGACUCCUCAGCAUCCUUUAGUUCACUGUUGUUUAAUCAACUAUCAAUGUCUCCUUACACUUUAAUUCCUCCCUCCUUUGUCAAGUCAAACACUUAGAGGAAAUCACACUGCCUGUGUUCUUCUGAUCUACAGGUCUCAUGAGCCCAUCAAAAACUCAGUGAACUUGUUUGGUUGGAUGCAUCUUUUAUUGCUUUUAAAAUACAACAAAGCUGUCGAUAAAUUAUUCCAUCAUCGCUUUUCAAGGUGUCUUCCUUUUUCUGCUGCGAUAUUGGAAGAAAAUGUCCAUGAUCCUCAUGGUUCGAGGGAAGUGCAACAAUCUAACCAGGAUGUGUCUCAGUGACUGGCCUCUAUUUCCUUUUCUGGAUAAAGGUACAUACCCAGGAACAUCGAAACAUAUGUCCCUGCAAAAACAUGUACAGGAAUGAUCACAGCAGCAAUACUCACAAUAGUCAAAAAGUGGAGACAAUCCAAAUGUCCAUGCACUGACAAAACGAUAAACGUGUGGCAUACCCAUAUCCACAUGACGGAGUGUCAUCAGCUGUAAGGAGGAAUGACGUUCUGGUAGGCUGUGUGAAAGAAGCCAGACGCAAAGGCCACAUGGGUCACUCCACGCAUAUGAAGUUUCCGCGACAGGCAGAGCUAUGGACACAGUACAUGGAUUCCUGGUUGCCUAGGGCUGGGGGCGGGGGCGACUAGGGGCAAGUGGGGAGUGACUGCUAUGGGGAGAGGGCAUUUCUCAGAGGUGAGAAAGGUCUCUGAAUAUUGCUUGUGAUGGUGGUUGCACAACUUUGAGAAUAUACUAAAAUUCAUUGAAUUAUAUGCACUAAAUGGGUGAACUUUCUCCAUGAAUUGUAUACACUAAAUGGAUGAACUUUCUCCAUGAAUUGUAUACACUAAAUGGGUGAACUUUCUCAUUAAAUUAUAUGCACUAAACGGCUGAACUUUCUCAUUGAAUUAUAUACACUAAAUGGGUGAACUUUCUCAAUGAACUGUAUACACUAAAUGGGUGAACUUUCUCACUGAAUUGUAUACACUAAACGGGUGAACUUUCUCAUUGAAUUAUAUGCACUAAAUGGGUGAACUUUCUCAAUGAACUGUAUACACUAAAUGGGUGAACUUUCUCACUGAAUUGUAUACACUAAACGGGUGAACUUUGUCAUUGAAUUAUAUACAGUAAAUGGGUGAACUUUCUCAUUGAAUUAUAUACACUAAACGGGUGAACUUUCUCACUGAAUUGUAUACACUAAAUGGGUGAACUUUCUCACUGAAUCGUAUACACUAAAUGGGUGAACUUUAUGGCACAUGGAUUGUAUCUCAAUAAAGCUGUUGAAAACUUUAAA